AGUACCUAAUCGCAAUUGGGAAAUUGAACCAAUGGAAAUGAAGUUUAUUGGCUGACAGAUUAGCCAGCCAGGUUAGAAAGGUCUGGAAUUCCGUUAUGAGGUGCAACCAAAACAGCAAACAACGGUUUUGUUGUGUGUUUUGAUCACUAAAAUGGCUGUGACUUUUGGACUCUCUUUGAGUGUUUCUUGGAUUUGUUGCCUGCUAAUUGGAGGGAUAACUUGUUUUACACUUAAAAGGUAACGCUCAUGGGCAUCCUGCCUACAGUAGACCUGAACCAACUGGAUCCUAUCCCCGGCGCCUCAGCAGGAGCGACAGGCCCCGGCGCCUCAGCAGGAGCGACAGGCCCCGGCGCCUCAGCAGGAGCAACAGGCCUUGAACAGACGGCCCGACCACUCAACUAGGGAGAUCAGAAUUUGGAUUGCCCAACUCCUUAAUUGUCUUUCCCAUGUUACUGUGCCUCCUUUUGAAAACGUUAAAGGUAACUGAGGUGGGGAAAUGUGCCAACUAAUGUGUUUGUUUGAAAUGAGGAUCUCCUUCACUUGUACAUCGUCAUGCAAAUUGUUUACAGGGGUGGACGAUACAAUGUUAUGAAUUGUUUUUAUCACCAUACGACUAAAUUGACUUCUGAUGUAGCGAUAUUGCUGACACACUUUUAGGUUCUACGGUUAUGCUUUUGAUUUAGCCUGGUGUUCCUGCUACUCUUGCAUGAUUUGCUCAAACCAUUUUACUUUCAAAAAACCUUGUCCUUAAAAUAUAAUCUCUUCUGCCUACCAUGUGCUUGCUGUUUGGUAACAGACUGUGGGCCUGGAGUAAAAGGGAAUGUGGUUCACAACACUUGUAUAAACAGACUUGUUUCUGG